CUUAACCGAAAACCCCUCUUCCCGAUUUGCCUCUUGAUUCAUCACUGGACACUUGUUGAUUCAAGGGUUUAGCUAGAUUAGGGUUCUUCUUUUGGAAUUGACUCUUUUUGUGCUGGAUUCUUUCCCUGAUCGGAUUGGUCAUCUUCUUGUGGUUGGUUUAGGUUUCGGUUGAAGAUGAUGGGAUCAAUCGAGUUGUCGAGCAGAGGCUUGAAGGUUUAUUGUGUGAUCUGUGAUCUCCAAUCUUGUGAUUGAUCAGUCUUCUCUUUGAUUGAUUCCGGCCACCACAUCCUUGGCAACAGAUUAGUACGCUUAAGGGGAGAAAUCCAGCAGGGAGGUUGUGUUCUGGAGGUGAGCGAUAGGGAUCUUGGACCUUAUCUUCCUUGCUGCUGAUUAAGGUCACGAUUAAGUGAGGUGAAGUUCUGGAUUGUGAAGUAAACCCAGCAGAGAGGAUCAGUAGGCUGUGAGCUGUCCUGUUUCUGUGGAUUUAGAAUUGGGUGCUGUGGUGUUCUUGAUCCAACAUCAACAGGGGCUGUGAGCUUGAGGUAUGGUGUAAGGAUUUUCGAUCUUAGUUGUAGAUCAUGGUGUGAUUUGAAUUCUAGAUGAUCUUGUUCUAGAUUGGAAUUAGGGUUUUACUUAGUUAUUUAUGUGGAGGGAUUUUGAUACAUGUUGUAAUUAGUUGUUAAAUUGCGUAGAUGUAAUUGUGUAGAAUAAAUCCAAUGAAAUAGUUAGGGUUAGGGUAAUUAACCCUAAUCAACCGUUGGAUUUCUAAUCUAAUUGGUGAUUAGGGAUUAGGUAACUAACCCUAAUCGACCAUUAGAUUUAAAUUGGUAAGUUGUGAUUGUGGUGAU